rnacentral:antisense_RNA from 1 species
GGCUGCCAGCGAUCAAGGACCAUAGUAUACCUGAUGCCCUCCCUCCUGACCUGUGAUUGGGAUUGAGCUGAAGAUAGUCACUGAGGUGAUUCAAGGGAUUAGCACUUGGUACAGGAUGAACCGUUGUCCACAUUCUGUUCUCUGAGUCAAAGAGGAGGAAGACCUGUCCAUCGAAACUGAACUGCCAAGAUCCACCGCUGUGUCCUUUGGCUUUCUGCUCACAAGACAUCCUGGCCUGCAGGGUGGGGGGUUCUGCCCCCAUCAUAGAGAGAUGAGCUCUGGUCUUGACAGAUAUUGAGCCCCCAUCCUGUUCCCCCUACAAUUUCCUGGUCUUACUCACUGUGCCACAUCCUGGCCUUGCCUCUAGACCACCUGUGGGGUGAGAUGACCUUCCUAUUUGUAUUUUUACAUGAAAACUAUAAAUGCCUCUAACC